CGGCGGACGGGUGAGUAACACGUGGAUAACCUACCUAUAAGAGUGGGAUAACUUCGGGAAACCGGAGCUAAUACCGGAUAAUAUUUUAAACCGCAUGGUUCAAAAGUGAAAGACGGUCUUGCUGUCACUUAUAGAUGGAUCCGCGCUGCAUUAGCUAGUUGGUAAGGUAACGGCUUACCAAGGCAACGAUGCAUAGCCGACCUGAGAGGGUGAUCGGCCACACUGUAACUGAGACACGGUCCAG
rnacentral:rRNA from 1 species